rfam:Populus trichocarpa isolate Nisqually-1 chromosome 19, whole genome shotgun sequence.
UAAUCUGUCUGAGGCAGAUUUUCAUCUUUUUAUGAUAUAUCUACACCUAACCGCUCAGAAUUAUUUACCAUCUCAAGAUCGAUUGCAUUAAUUACUAAUGUAGAAUUGAAAGUGUUUGUUUUGAUA